GCAGGUGGGACCGUCUUCUUGUGUGUAGUCUACUAUACUAACAGAAAUAAAUUUGGAGAGCAGGGAAAGCUUGGAGUCUGGGGCACAGUUACUCUUUGCCAUCUUUCAGAAAGUCCUGAGACUAUGGCUUGUGCGAAAGGGACCCUCUCGACGGGGAGAGGUCAACGGCUUUCACAGCCCUGGCAGGAUGAGUAACAACAGUUAGGUAAGCAGUUUUCUUCCACUUUGGCAAAUCAGAGCAGUUCCGGAUUUGUGGGGUACUAGUGGGCUUGUAAGAUGCUAACUUUCCGGAGGUGGUUGUUGCCAUGCGCCCCGUACCUGGGAUCAGGCUACUUUGAAGGUUAAUUGUCAUGUCACUGAUCUGCAGCUGAAAGAGGGCCCUUGCAGAUCUGGGAAAAGAGAUACCAUCAACACCGGUUUCUGCAGAGCCCUGAGCACAGCACGUCAAGCAGGAGAGGAAGGCAAGUAGAGGGGGCUGCUGCAGGAAGUUUGCCCACCGUGAGCAGCUGGGAGAUUGUGUUUUUAUAGCUGGCGAACCUACAUCUUUGUGUAGAACAGGGAGCAUAAGAUUGAUACCAGUUACUCAAACUGCAAACCAUGCUGGAGACAAAAGCAGGACCUCAGUUGUCGUGGAUUAAGACUUUACGAGGUGAACCCCCCUGAACUUUGCCCAUAACAAGGGGAAAGUCCUUGGGAUCUGACCCGCUUUGGAACUACCAGAAACUUCUUCUGGACACUCCCUUUUGACUUGAAUGCCUUUCCACUCCUUUGAACAAUUUAUUUUAUUUAUGGAUCGUAUGUAAUAACAAGAAUAAACAAAAAUUAUUUAUGAAACACCAGCAAUAUGUACAAUGUUAUGCUAGGCCUUGUAGGGGAUGCAAAGAAAAUUAUGAAAUGUACACUUUCGUAAGUCUUAAUGCUUUCCAAAAUGCUUUCAGAUCCUUGCAUGAUUUCACCCUUAUAACAUUACUCUGCUUAGCCUUUCCAGGAAGGUUUCUCCCAUUAACUUUACUUUGCUAUUUUUAUUCGAAUACCUAUAUGUAUCAGUUUUUGAAGUU